CACGCUUUAAACGAAACAAAGAAGCACGAGAACAAAACACGAAUGAAAAGGACAAAAGAAAAUGAACGGCGCGCGUUUCACUUGCCCUUUCAUUUUAAUUUAGUCUUUUGUUCUCUUUCAUUCAUUAACAAUCUUAUGGUCUGGAUUUGUCCUUUGUCUUUCCUUUGUGUUCUUUGCUUUAAAUUAAAACAAGCGGAAACAAAUGAGC
rnacentral:ribozyme from 1 species